GCAGAUCCUACUUUAGCCAGAUUUGUUGGUGUGGUAGCCAGCUUUCUGCCAUUAUUACACAGUACCUGAGGCAAUUAACUGUUAUAAAGAAUAGGUUUAUUUUGACUCAUGGUUUGGGAAGUUACAGUCUGACAUGGUGGGCUAAGUGCCCUUUGCUUUGGGGUCUCUAGCAGGGGCAACAUAGAGGGUCCGGAGCAUCUGUUGGAGCAGACUACUUAUCUCAUGAGCUAACAGAAACAGAAGAAAUAGGACAAUCCAGGGUGGUACAGUCCCCUUCAAGAAUGUACAGCUGGUGACUUUAAGACCUUGUAUACGGCCCCACUUCCUAAAGAUCUCAACGUCUCCCAGUUCUGCCAAGCUGAGGAUCAGGGCUUGAAUGAUGGACUUUGGGGGGCACACUUGACAUUCAGAUUAUAGUAGUAGGUUUUUGGAAACAGCUCCAUCUGCCUGCCAGACAUUCAGAACCACAAUACUGUUUAAAAUUUCCCCGAUGCCACAGAAUUAUUUCUAUUAAUGUAGUAUUUGUUUCCUUUUAGUGACCAUGUUGUUAAACAUCCGAUUCACACUGUCAGAAAUAGAAAGCAGCAAGUACCAGUAACAGAUCCAUUUACAUUGUGUUUAGACAUAAUAGAUAAAGAAGUUGGUUUUCAAGCAACUGACAAGUCUUCCAAAAUGUUGAAAUAUAAAUGCUCAGGUUGCAUAGCGGUAAGAAAAUUACUCAACAGUCGAAAUUUUAGCAAGCUUUUGCACUCUUGUACAUACCAAUGUGAUUAUCAUAAAGUCAUUAUGGAAGCUGAAGAUAAAUAUAAAAGUGAAUUAAGGAAAGCACUUAUCUGUGACAAAGGUAAUUAAUUAGCAAAUUUAACUGUAAUUACGGCUACACAUUCUGAACCAUCAUCUAAAGUAUUAGAUAUAUUGACUAGAGAGUGUAAAAUACUGUUGAAAAGAAAAACCUAUCUCUAGAUUACCAAUAACUUAAGAUAUACUAGAGUAGAUUUAGUCUAUAAUGACUUAAAAAUUCUCUGUAAACUGGGUAUGGUGGCACACACCUGUAUUCUCAGCCUUUGGGAGGUAGAGGCAAGAGAAUCAGGAAUUCAGGGCCAGCCUUAACUAUACAGAGUUUGGAGCCACCCUGAUCUUUC